AUGCAUUUUCAUACUACAUUUGAGCCAUGGAUAUUGCUGAGCAAACAAUUAGGAUUUGAGGUUUGGGGUCCCAAAAUUGUUAAGAGAUACCAGAGAGAAACCAUUGCCAUGUGUCUUAAGGAUGGGGUAUUGCCCAACAACUGGAACUUGAUUACAUUCAGUGUUGGCUUGCUAGAGUGUGCAACUCACGAUAACCAUCUUUGGGGAGCAAGGGUCUUAGACACUUUCACUAGGAAAGGUAUACCUAUAAGACAGGAGCUACUAUCUUCAAGCCAAGCAAUUAAAAAUCUGUUCGACGUGGUUGGCCUGACAAGAACAGAUAACCCUGAGACAAGAGAGCGUGCCACAAGGAUUGUAGCAGAUCUAGCCAGUGAGCUCCGUAUAACCCAGUUUCCAGAUGCGCUGAGAUGCAUAUGCUAUUUACUUGAAAGCUGCAAUCAUUAUAGUGAUCCAGAAGUUGCCCAUCUAUUGGGGAAUUUUGAGCAAACUCUUGACAAAACUACCUGCAAGGUGUCAGUAGAAACCUUCGAGCAUAGUCACCAUCAAGAAGAUGCCCACUUGUCUUUGCCGAUCACCGAGCAAACUAACCAAAAACAUCUACCAUCAGAUGAGUUUUCCAAGAUAAAAUCAUGGAUUCAAACAAUGAUGUAUGAAAUAAAUAAGUUCAUAACUCCUCAAUGGGAUAGAUAUUUUGGAGAUAAGUAUCACUACUCCUAUGUAUCGAAAGGAACCAAAGAACUGAUCUCUCAAGGCCUGGUGAUUCUUGAGAGGCUCACACAAGAUGAAGACAACUGUACUGAGAUAAUCAGACACCAAAGGCUCCUCUCUAAGAUCACGUUACCAUUGUGCUACCAGGACCUCCUCGGCCAUCGAUGGGACCAUACAUGGGCUGAGAUGCUAAGGAGGUCACUCACAGUUCUGAGCAGGCUUAUCAGAGGUGGACCUAGAGAGGACAGCACAAGGCUGCGCCAUGAUAUGUUCCGCAACACGAUAGUAAUCCGCAAUUUGAUGCGUAUUUUGGAGGUUGACUGUGAAGGUGCCUUCUCGGAACUACGUGUACAAGCAAUAGAAAUUCUUACUGAGCUAGCCUAUGUUGAUUCCUUUAGAAAGCUAGCUUUUGAUCAAUCUACAAGCAUGACAGAAAUGUUUGUCAAGACACUGCGGCGCAUCUUCCUUGAGGAUAGGGAUGGCGACACUAUAGUGGCAAAAUAUGACGAAGACAAGGACACAAGAGCGAGGACAAAAGCAGGGGAAGCACUGGCCAGAUUGCUUCGAGCCCCAAGUGCAAGAGAUAACACUGAUGCGCUGAUUUCUGCCACAAAUGUUGAUAUUGUUGAUUUACUUCCCAUGCAAGAUGUUGAUGUUGUUGAUCUACUUCCCAAGCAAGACGUGAUCAAUCUGUUGACCAAGGUUGUUGGUCAAAUACUAUCUACUAAAGCAAAAAACUCUGCACAUGUGGCAGCACAGACUGGUGCAACGAAUAGUAAUUGUCAUAUACAAAGCCAGACUCAAAAAAUUCCUGCUGCAAGACAGUCUUCCACUCAGGGAUAUGAAGAAGAGUCCGAGAGCAGAAACAAGUUAGCCACCAUGCUAUCUCUUACUGUGGCAAUAUGCAACAACAAUGCAAUCAGUGGAGAUGAUUUUACUCGUGGCACUCCUGAAGAAGCUCAUGGAGAUAGUAGAAACAAACAUGGAUACCACGACUGA
rnacentral:rRNA from 1 species